CUAUCUGUUCUAUCUGUUCCUGGAACUGGGAUGACAUGGCGUAUCCUUGGAGAUGCAGUGGGAGCAGAUGAGCAGCUUCAACCUCGUAGGAGUGGAAGGAAUCAGCCUAGAGAUUUACAUGAAGAAGAAGAGUUCGAAUCUGAAGCCGACAGUGACUAUGAGGAAGAGCAAAUUCCUUUUGAGGAUGAUGAAGAUGAAAUACUAUGAGCAAAUUCCUUUGAGGAUUGAAGCUGUCUGGACUGUGGGCUGCUGCAUGUUGUGUUUGCCUAUCAUAUUUUGCUUGAUUGUGCAUUUGUGCUAUGUACUAUUAGCUGCUAGCUGCUAGCUGCUGCUAUGACUUUUAAGUUCUUAUUUUCUUCGUGUUAGAAAUUUGAACUAUGAACUAUGCUAUGUCAUCAUGUGGCUAUCUGCUACUUCAUAUGGACUGGUGUGCUGCAGGCUGCAGCUGUUAAUUUCAUGCUCAUUGUCAUUCUUUCUUUCUUUUCUUGGUCAUAUUCUAUUGUUAAUGUCCAGCUGUUGUCUUUUUGUUUUUUUCAUGAACUUAAACAGUUAAACUAAUUAGGUUGUUGUCAUUUGUGUAGGUACAAUUGCUGUCCAGCAAAGAAGAUGGCCAGAGGAAAGAAAUUACUGGUAAGGACAAAUGUCGCCUUAAGAAUGGUCACCAAGGAAAAGAGACACCAGCAUAGGAAUGAGCAGUGUGACUGCACCUUGAGAUUUUUGUGAAAAUGGAAGCACCAUUCCGGGGAAGGUAGUGAUUGAAUAGCUUGCGUAUAGACAAAGUUUGCAGUUUAUUCAUCUGUUGCGAUGGCAGUGACCCAUCCAGCAUUUUCUUUUCGCCGAUAUCCAUUUCCUGUACAGGCUUUUUGUUUGUUUCGAAUUUCUGAUCCAUGCCAUAUUCCUAUCAAGUUGUGAUGUUGACUGGGGAUGAAGAGCAAUCAUCGGAUCAAUCAUUGAAUGAAUCUCUUUUACCUC